rnacentral:rRNA from 1 species
GAUGAACGCUAGCGGCAGGCUUAACACAUGCAAGUCGAGGGGUAGAGGAAGCUUGCUUCCUUGAGACCGGCGCACGGGUGCGUAACGCGUAUGCAACCUACCUUUUACAGAGGGAUAGCCCAGAGAAAUUUGGAUUAAUACCUCAUGGUAUAUAUCAUUCGCAUGUUUGAUAUAUUAAAGUUCCAACGGUAAAAGAUGGGCAUGCGUCCUAUUAGCUAGAUGGUAAGGUAACGGCUUACCAUGGCAACGAUAGGUAGGGGUCCUGAGAGGGAGAUCCCCCACACUGGUACUGAGACACGGACCAGACUCCUACGGGAGGCAGCAGUGAGGAAUAUUGGACAAUGGGCGCAAGCCUGAUCCAGCCAUGCCGCGUGCAGGAAGAAGCAUCUAUGGUGUGUAAACUGCUUUUGUACGGGAAGAAACACUCCUUCGUGAAGGAGCUUGACGGUACCGUAAGAAUAAGGAUCGGCUAACUCCGUGCCAGCCGCCGCGGUAAGAC